rnacentral:lncRNA from 1 species
CCCUGUGCUGGCCCCUCCUGCAACAAUCGGGAGCCCCCACCUCAGUCGGCGCUGCAGAACCAGCCCAGGAGAGCAGCUGGCCUGUCAUCUGCUGAGGAGCGGAGGCGUGCGGGGAUCCGGAGGGGAAGGGGGUCUGGAGUGCUCCCGGGGAGACCCUCAGGGACUGCCCUGCUGCUGGCAGCGCCUGGGCCCAGGGCUGAUGGAGGCGUCUCCUGGCCUCCAGGGCUGUGCCCAGGACUGCAAUGGCCUCCCACACUACCUCACUACCCUGGUCCAGGCUCACUGACAGAUGAGGAAACUGAGGCAGGGGCCCCAGUCUCACGGCCAUUGGUGCAGAGCUGGGAUCCAAGACCGGGUGGGCUCUUUGUUAUUACUUCCUCCAAGGACAAGCCCAGGUUCUCCAGGGUGUGGGGUCCACGUGUGGCCACAGCGGGCCUUAGAGACAGACAGGCCUGGGCGGGGGGAGGGGUGGGUGGGCAAGGCCUUAGAGACAGGCCUGGCGGGGGAGGGGCCGGGCCUGUGCGCUGGCAGUGGUGGCACCACGGGGCCCUUGGGGACACC